rnacentral:rRNA from 1 species
UACGUAGGGGGCGAGCGUUGUCCGGAUUUAUUGGGCGUAAAGAGCUCGUAGGCGGUUUGGUAAGUCGGGUGUGAAAUCUCCACGCUCAACGUGGAGGGGCCACUCGAUACUGCCAUGACUCGAGUCCGGUAGAGGAGUGUGGAAUUCCCGGUGUAGCGGUGAAAUGCGCAGAUAUCGGGAGGAACACCCGUAGCGAAGGCGGCACUCUGGGCCGGAACUGACGCUGAGGAGCGAAAGCGUAGGGAGCAAACAGG